rnacentral:misc_RNA from 1 species
CCGAUGGCUCGCAGCGCGAGACCAACACGAUGCCGCAAUGGGCCGGCAGUUGCUGGUAUUAUCUCCGUUACCUCGAUGCGAAUAAUGCGUCCGCGUUUGUCGGCAAGGAAGCCGAGCAAUACUGGAUGGGAGUGUCUGGCGUUGAACCGUUGAACCGUGGAACCGUUGAACCGGCUCACGAUUCAACGAUUCAACGAUUCAACGAUUCAACGAAACCCGGCGUCGAUCUCUACGUCGGCGGCACCGAGCACGCCGUGCUGCACCUGCUCUACGCGCGGUUCUGGCACAAGGCGCUGUUCGAUCUUGGCUAUGUCUCGACGCCCGAGCCGUUCUUCAAGCUCGUCAACCAGGGACUCAUCCUCGGCGAAGACGGACAGAAGAUGUCGAAGGCGCGCGGCAACGUCGUCAAUCCCGACGACAUGGUGCGGGAGUUCGGCGCCGAUUCCCUGCGACUGUUCGAAAUGUUCAUGGGUCCGCUCCAGGACACGAAGCCGUGGAGCACGAAGGGCGUGGAAGGCGUUUAUCGUUUUCUCGGCCGCGUCUGGCGAUUGUUCGUGGAGGAACAGAGUGAAACGGAGUUCGAACAGGCGGAGACCACAACAAAGGAACAAAGGAACGAAGGGUUGCUGGAGCUGAUCAAACUCAGCGCCGCGAUCAAAGAAGUCGAGCCCGCACCGGCCCAACUCAAAGCGCUGCACGCCUGCAUCAAAAAAGUCACCGAAGACCUCGACGGCCUGCGCUUCAACACGGCGAUCUCGGCGAUGAUGGAGUUCGUCAACGGCGCGCUGCACUGGGAAACGAAACCGGUUUCCGUCCUGAAAACGUUUCUCCAAUUGCUCGCCCCCUUUGCGCCGCACCUGGCGGAGGAAUUGUGGGAAAAGAUAAACAUCGAACAUCGAACAUCGAACAUCGAACAUCGAAUCAGCCUCUCGUACGCACCGUGGCCGAAGUUCGAUCCGGCCCUGCUCGUCGAGGACACGCUGGAAAUUCCCGUGCAGGUCAACGGCAAGUUGCGCGACGUGAUCAAAGUACCCGCGAACGCCGACAACGCCGCUCUCGAAGCCGCCGCCCGCGCAUCCGCGAAAGUGAAGCCGUUCCUCGACGGCAAGACCAUCAAGAAGGUCAUCGUCGUGCCGAAGAAGCUGGUGAACCUGAUUGCGGCAUAGGCGUGCGCUUCCCUACCAAAAUAAGGCACUACCGCGUCUCCAGAAAGAUUGCGGUCAGCCGAUCGAACCGUUACUGUGCAGCAGCAUGGUUCACCUGACGAAACAGGAACAAAUGGUGCUCUGCUUCAUCCUGGGAUUGCUGUUGACCGGCUGGGCGGUGAAGGCUUAUCGCACCGCGCACCCGGCGGCAAAGUUGAGCCCGGGCGCGCCGCAAACGUCCGGCGAUCCAGCGGAACAUUGACAUGCACGAAGCCACAUUCGAAGAAGGUCUCGACCUGAUCCUGUCCAGGGAUACACGUUAUCAGCGCGACGCCUACGUGUUCCUGCGCGAAGCGCUGGAUCACACGCAGAAAACCAUCGUCAAAGAAAAUCGCGGCGAAAUACGCCACGUGACCGGUCAGGAAUUGCUGGCCGGCAUCCGCGAAUACGCGCUCGGCCAGUUCGGUCCGAUGGCGAUGAUGAUCCUUGAGGAAUGGGGUGUCCGCACCUGCCACGAUUUCGGCGAAAUCGUUUUCAACAUGGUGGAAGUCGGCUUGCUCGCCAAGACCGACAAGGACAGCCGCGAGGAUUUCAAGGACGGCUACGAUUUCGAGGAUGCGUUCCGCAAACCUUUUCUGCCGAAGAGCAAGCAGAUCAAGGAAACAAAGUCUGUCGUUUGACACAGACGCUGAAGUACUCGGAUAUCCCGCUUCAUCUUGCAAUCGCGGCUGCUUCGUGGCACCCUUUCCCCAUGAGCAACAAAGAACUCGUCGCAGAUCUGGUCAGGCGCUUGCCCGAUGACGUUUCGCUCCUGGACAUCGCGCGAGAAAUUGAAUUCGUUGCCGGCGUACGCGAGGGCUUUGCGCAAUUGGAUCGUGGUGAGGGCACCCCUCUGCAAGAGGUCGCCGGGCAAUUGCCUUCAUGGAUUUCAAAGUAAUCUUGUCGCCGCGAGCGAUUCAGGAUUUACAGGAAAUCGUCAGAUAUAUUUCCUUCGACAACCUCGCGAUGGCGGAAAGCUUCGGGUUCGAACUCCUCGCCAAGAACCGUUCAUUAUCGGCUUUCCCGGAACUGGGACGCAAGGUACCGGAACUGGAUGAUCCGAAUAUUCGUGAGAUCAUUUUCAAGUCGUACCGGAUUGUCUGUCGAGUGCGGAAAGACGGGCAGGCCGU